UGGGGAAUCUUGCGCAAUGGGCGAAAGCCUGACGCAGCGACGCCGCGUGCGGGAAGAAGGCCUUCGGGUUGUAAACCGCUUUCAGGAGGGACGAAGCCACUCGGGUUAAUAGCCCAGAGGGUGACGGUACCUCCAGAAGAAGCCCCGGCUAACUACGUGCCAGCAGCCGCGGUAAUACGUAGGGGGCUAGCGUUGUCCGGAUUUAUUGGGCGUAAAGAGCGCGUAGGCGGCCGAGUAAGUCCGACGUGAAAUCUGGAGGCUCAACCUCCAGCGGUCGUUGGAAACUACUCGGCUAGAGUCCGGAAGAGGAGAGUGGAAUUCCUGGUGUAGCGGUGAAAUGCGCAGAUAUCAGGAAGAACACCGAUGGCGAAAGCAGCUCUCUGGGACGGUACUGACGCUGAGGCGCGAAAGCGUGGGGAGCGAACAGGAUUAGAUACCCUGGUAGUCCACGCCGUAAACGAUGGGUGCUAGGUGUGGGCGGUGUCAACUCCGCCCGUGCCGAAGCUAACG
rnacentral:rRNA from 1 species